AAAACCGAUCGUAGUCCGGAUCGCAGUCUGCAACUCGACUGCGUGAAGUCGGAAUCGCUAGUAAUCGCGAAUCAGAAUGUCGCGGUGAAUACGUUCCCGGGCCUUGUACACACCGCCCGUCACACCAUGGGAGUGGGUUGCACCAGAAGUAGCUAGUCUAACCUUCGGGAGGACGGUUACCACGGUGUGAUUCAUGACUGGGGUGAAGUCGUAACAAGGUAGCCGUAGGGGAACCUGCGGCUGGAUCACC
rnacentral:rRNA from 1 species